AGAGUUUGAUCCUGGCUCAGAACGAACGCUGGCGGCGCGUCUUAAGCAUGCAAGUCGGACGAGAAGGUGCCUUCGGGCAUCUGGAAGUGGCGAACGGGUGAGUAACACGUAGGUGAUCUACCCCUGGAUUGGGGAUAGCCCAUGGAAACAUGGGGUAAUACCGAAUACGACUGGCCAUUCGGUUGGUCAGGGAAAGGCGCUUUAGGCGCCGUCCGGGGAUGAGCCUGCGGUCCAUUAGCUAGUUGGUGGGGUAACGGCCUACCAAGGCGACGAUGGGUAGCCGGCCUGAGAGGGUGUACGGCCACACUGGGACUGAGACACGGCCCAGACUCCUACGGGAGGCAGCAGCUAAGAAUCUUCCGCAAUGGGCGAAAGCCUGACGGAGCGACGCCGCGUGAACGAGGAAGGCCGAAAGGUUGUAAAGUUCUUUUCUUGGGGAAGAAUAAGGGGAAGAGGGAAUGCUUCUCUGAUGACGGUAACCGAGGAAAAAGCCCCGGCCAAUUACGUGCCAGCAGCCGCGGUAACACGUAGGGGGCAAGCGUUGUUCGGAAUUAUUGGGCGUAAAGGGCGUGUAGGCGGUUCUGCAAGCCUGGUGUUAAAUACCACAGCUUAACUGUGGGAAAGCGCUGGGAACUGCGGGACUAGAGUUUAGGAGGGGAAGCUAGAAUUCCAGGUGUAGGGGUGAAAUCUGUAGAUAUCUGGAAGAAUACCAGUGGCGAAGGCGAGCUUCUGGCCAUAGACUGACGCUGAUGCGCGAAAGCGUGGGGAGCGAACAGGAUUAGAUACCCUGGUAGUCCACGCU
rnacentral:rRNA from 1 species